rnacentral:pre_miRNA from 13 species
UGCACCCGAGCACAUCUGUGGACUCUAUCCUUCAUUCCACCGGAGUCUGUGUCUCUAACCAAUCAGAUUUCAGUGGUGUGAAGCAUAGAAGACACAGAGCAGU